AUUGAACGCUGGCGGCAUGCUUUACACAUGCAAGUCGAACGGUAACAGGCCUUCGGGUGCUGACGAGUGGCGAACGGGUGAGUAAUGCAUCGGAACGUACCCAGAGGUGGGGGAUAACGCAGCGAAAGCUGUGCUAAUACCGCAUGUGAUCUGAGGAUGAAAGCGGGGGACCGAGCAGCAAUGUUUGGCCUCGCGCCUUUGGAGCGGCCGAUGUCGGAUUAGCUAGUUGGUGGGGUAAAGGCCUACCAAGGCGACGAUCCGUAGCUGGUCUGAGAGGACGACCAGCCACACUGGGACUGAGACACGGCCCAGACUCCUACGGGAGGCAGCAAUGGGGAAUUUUGGACAAUGGGCGCAAGCCUGAUCCAGCAAUGCCGCGUGCGGGAAGAAGGCCUUCGGGUUGUAAAACGCUUUUGGCAGGAACGAAACGGUGUCCGCUAAUACCGGGCGAUAAUGACGGUACCUGCAGAAUAAGCACCGGCUAACUACGUG
rnacentral:rRNA from 1 species